rnacentral:pre_miRNA from 1 species
AGGGGGAGCGCUGGAUCCUAGGCUAUGUCCCUCGGCGCCCUGGGCUCCGGGGCCUGCACCAAUGGAAUCGUGCUCUUGGGGCCAUGUGGCCCCUU